rnacentral:rRNA from 1 species
GACGAACGCUGGCGGCGUGCUUAACACAUGCAAGUCGAACGGAAAGGCCCUGCUUUUGUGGGGUGCUCGAGUGGCGAACGGGUGAGUAACACGUGAGUAACCUGCCCUUGACUUUGGGAUAACUUCAGGAAACUGGGGCUAAUACCGGAUAGGAGCUCCUGCUGCAUGGUGGGGGUUGGAAAGUUUCGGCGGUUGGGGAUGGACUCGCGGCUUAUCAGCUUGUUGGUGGGGUAGUGGCUUACCAAGGCUUUGACGGGUAGCCGGCCUGAGAGGGUGACCGGCCAAAUUGGGACUGAGAUACGGCCCAGACUCCUACGGGGAGGAGCAGGGGGGAAUAUUGCACAAUGGGCGGAAGCCUGAUGCAGCAACGCCGCGUGCGGGAUGACGGCCUUCGGGUUGUAAACCGCUUUCGCCUGUUGCGGAGCGUGGAUGACGGUAAUGGGUAAAGAAGCACCGGCUAACUACGUG